GAUUGAGGGAAAUGGAGAGAAAAGCAAAAGAAAUUUUAUUUGUCCAAUUUCUCUUAUUUGGACAUUAGAUAGAGGAGAAAAAGGAGGAAAAUGGAAGAGAAAUUCCAAUUUUCAAAUCUUCUUAAUUGACCAAAAUAUUUCUAUCCAAAUUGGAAUGAAAUAGAGGGAAAUGUGAGAAUAAAAGUGUUGCUUAUAUUAAAAUUACUUAGAUGUCCUUAGACGUAAGAAAAAAAUGAGGGUAGAGAGAAAUUGUAUUUUUCUCCUUUUUGAAUAAUGCUAGCAUUCGAAGCACGCGCGUUGCACAAGCAUCUAAU
rnacentral:misc_RNA from 1 species